ensembl:lncRNA novel transcript
ACUCCUCCCAGCAUGCCUGGCGAGGCGCGCACCGCGCUGGCCCUCUCUCCUGGGACACGCACCGCCUCCAAUCCUGGUUUAUGCUGGGAUUGUAGUCAGGCAGCCCUGUGAGCAAUUUUUCAGAUUAACUCUUAAGUACUCCACGGCUACAUGCUCCUGAAGCUGUUAUAGGCCCAGCCUCAGAUCUGUGCAGGGCGGAUGCACAAGAGCAGAAUCUCCGUGGACAUCUUUCUGGAGCAUCAAUUUUACUGCAAGAUUUUGAAGAAACACAUUUAAUUGAUUUUCAAGGAUUGCAGAAACCGUGAAUGAGGAGGGCUGACUCUAUCUAUGUUUGGAGUCUGUGAAUAUGAACUCUUCCUAUGUUGGUAAAUGGAAAUUUCUUUCACC